CGUAAAGCGAGCGCAGACGGUUUAUUAAGUCUGAUGUGAAAGCCCGGAGCUCAACUCCGGAAAUGGCAUUGGAAACUGGUUAACUUGAGUGCAGUAGAGGUAAGUGGAACUCCAUGUGUAGCGGUGGAAUGCGUAGAUAUAUGGAAGAACACCAGUGGCGAAGGCGGCUUACUGGACUGCAACUGACGUUGAGGCUCGAAAGUGUGGGUAGCAAACAGGAUUAGAUACCCUGGUAGUCCACACCGUAAACGAUGAACACUAGGUGUUAGGAGGUUUCCGCCUCUUAGUGCCGAAGCUAACGCAUUAAGUGUUCCGCCUGGGGAGUACGACCGCAAGGUUGAAACUCAAAGGAAUUGACGGGGACCCGCACAAGCGGUGGAGCAUGUGGUUUAAUUCGAAGCAACGCGAAGAACCUUACCAGGUCUUGACAUCCUUUGAAGCUUUUAGAGAUAGAAGUGUUCUCUUCGGAGACAAAGUGACAGGUGGUGCAUGGUCGUCGUCAGCUCGUGUCGUGAGAUGUUGGGUUAAGUCCCGCAACGAGCGCAACCCUUAUUGUUAGUUGCCAGCAUUCAGAUGGGCACUCUAGCGAGACUGCCGGUGACAAACCGGAGGAAGGCGGGGACGACGUCAGAUCAUCAUGCCCCUUAUGACCUGGGCUACACACGUGCUACAAUGGCGUAUACAACGAGUUGCCAACCCGCGAGGGUGAGCUAAUCUCUUAAAGUACGUCUCAGUUCGGAUUGUAGUCUGCAACUCGACUACAUGAAGUCGGAAUCGCUAGUAAUCGCGGAUCAGCACGCCGCGGUGAAUACGUUCCCGGGUCUUGUACACACCGCCCGUCACACCAUGGGAGUUUGUAAUGCCCAAAGCCGGUGGCCUAACCUUUUAGGAAGGAGCCGUCUAAGGCAGGACAGAUGACUGGGGUGAAGUCG
rnacentral:rRNA from 1 species